CCUCGCCGGGUAGGCGCGGCCGGACCGAGACCCCGGGGCCCGGCCCCCGCGUCCCCGCGAGCAGACUCCGGGGCAGGAUGCGCCCCUUGUGCGGGCGGCGCUCUCCUUCUCGUCCACGGGGCUUGUCGGCGCCGAGGUGACCCGGGCCCCAGGGCCCGUACUUACCCCAUGAAGCUUCCAGAGAAGGUCGCCCGCAAAGCAGAGUAGCCUGCCAGAUGUCAGGUUCUACUUAGUGACCCCUGCCUGAAGGUGGCUUCCCAGGAAGGUAAAAGAAGUUUGAGCUUCAGAGCAGUUGCAAGAUUCUUCUCUGAGCUGUACAAUGGCUGUAGCUGUGGACCAACAAAACCAUACUCCACACGUACAAGAGCUUCGAAUAGUGAAACCGGAAGAAGAUUCCCACAGGGGGCAGGACAUUUCCCUUCAAGACAGUGACCCUGGACCAGAGACCUCCUGUCAGCAUUUUCGGCAUUUCUGCUACCAAGAAGCGUUAGGACCCUGGAGGCCCUUGUUAACUCUGGACGCUCUGCCAUCGGUGGCCGAGACCAGAGGAGUGCACGGAAGAGCAGAUCCUGGUGCUGCUCGUCCUGGACCAGUUCCUGACUGUCCUUCCCCAGGAGACCCAGCUCUGGGUUAGACAGAAGCAUCCAGAGAGUGGAGAGGAGGCAGUGACCCUGGUGCAAGACUUGCAGAAGGAACCUGGAAGAGAGGGGCUGCAGGUGAGAUUCGGGAACCUAGCUCUGUAUAGUUUCAACAGAGGAACGUAGAGACAGCCACCUUGGGCUGCUGGCAUGUGAUGUGUGAGGUGUGUCAAGUGGGGUUUGCUUAUUCCCUGGGCCUGGGAGCUGCACCUUUCCCUUCAAGUUCAGACCGACUCUUCAGAGAAUGCACAUCGGAUGCUCUGAGUAUAGGUCCCUGCCGCUAGAUAGGAGGACCGUGUCAAGUGGCUUGAACGUCACUCUGAUCGAGGAGGAGCGCUUCUUUCUGGAGAACAGCUCUCACUCAGCAGCGGCCAGCCUGAAGCAAGGGCUUCGCUGGUCUUCAUGGACAAUAUCGAACCUUUGGGUCCUAUGAAAAAUAGCUGUGCUGUUGUCUUCCUUGAGUUUUGCCUGGGCGUUGACAGGAGCCGCACUGGAGAGCUGGGUGGGAAGACUGCAGGGACUUCACUCUGAAGUCGUCCACAUAUCCACUUUCCUUGCUGCCCUUGCAGAGAUUUGCAUAAAACUGGUUUCACCUUUGCUUCUUUGUGCCUUCGGAUGAUUAAUUAGUGCUACAGAAUUCUGACCACUUCCAGUCACUGAACAGAGGAGCAGGAACUCUCAGGAUCAGUACUGGGUUCCCUAAAUAUCCAUGUGAAGCAAGCACAGAAUCCAUGUGUCUGUUCCUGGCAAUGGUGAAGAACACACACAGCCAAAACCAGAACAGCUGAACCACAGCCCCCAAGCAGGACUCCGAUCCUUCCACAAGCCAUGAACAAAACCCACCUAGUCAGCCAGCACCUUGAUCCUGGACUUCAGCCUCCUAAACUGUGAGAAACAAAUGUCCAUUUUUAAGCCCCCCAGUCUGUGAUAUUGUCAUGGCAGCCUGAGCUGAUGAACACACCGAGUAAGCCCAGCUGACAGCCAAACCCACAUCCCAAAAUGGCCAGAAAUUGUGUAAGGUGAUAAAAAUGCUUUGGAAACAGGGGUGAUGGCUGUCAAUACUGCUAAUGUAGUAAUGUCACUGAAUUCUACAUUUAAAAAUGGAAAGAAUGGUGUUACAUAUACCUAUCACAAUCUUUAAAAAUUAAUAUACUAUACCAAAGUCCAUUAAACUAUCCACAAGGAUGAAUUGUAUGGUGUAUGUAUAUCUCAACACAAAGCUAUUUUUAAAAAAUCAGAGCCCAAACUGUGAGUGGUGAUCAAGUAAUUUCAAAAGCAAAAUUGCUGAAAACCCUCUAAUAAAUAUGACCAGGAGAGAUGGUAUGCAA